rnacentral:rRNA from 1 species
GGGGAAUCUUGGACAAUGGGCGCAAGCCUGAUCCAGCCAUGCCGCGUGAGUGAAGAAGGCCUUAGGGUUGUAAAGCUCUUUUGGCAGGGACGAUAAUGACGGUACCUGCAGAAUAAGCCCCGGCAAACUUCGUGCCAGCAGCCGCGGUAAUACGAAGGGGGCUAGCGUUGCUCGGAAUUACUGGGCGUAAAGCGCACGUAGGCGGACUCUUAAGUCGGUGGUGAAAUCCUGGAGCUCAACUCCAGAACUGCCUUCGAUACUGGGAGUCUUGAGUUCGGGAGAGGUGAGUGGAACUGCGAGUGUAGAGGUGAAAUUCGUAGAUAUUCGCAAGAACACCAGUGGCGAAGGCGGCUCACUGGCCCGAUACUGACGCUGAGGUGCGAAAGCG